GUUGUUAUUUGAAAUAUAAGUUGUACUAAAUAAUGUCUGCGCUACACCUAAUAAUUAUUUGUAAUUAAUCACUUCAUUGCUUAUUAAUAUGCGUUACGCCUGUUUGUUACUAUUUUUUCAUGCUUUUGUAAAUUGAUACGGAUUCGGGUGUUGUGUUAGGGAGCACUUGUCUUUUUUUUUUUUUUCCUUCCAAGUACAUUGAUAUAUUU
rnacentral:lncRNA from 1 species